UGACAGAAGUAUAGAGAGC
rnacentral:snRNA from 1 species